GUGGUGGCAUAAAUGGUUUCUUUGUACACUUCGCAGGGCAAAGAACAGAUUUGUAUUCAAGAAUGGCAGUGGUGGUAGUAUUGUCAAAUGGUGCAUUUUGCGCACUUUGAUAGGCUCGGGCUGCCAUGUAAUAUCGGCCAGGUAGUUGGUCGCCAGAGAUCAAAACAUCUGUGGUUUGGCCAGGUCCUAGCAUGAUGACCGAGGUGGUAAAGGGCUUAAGAUAGGAUGCAUCGGCACCGACAACUGUAAACUUGUGGUUGGCUAUGGUGAAGAAAAGUGGUUGAUUGAGUGCAGCAUUGAUGACUCGGAGGAGGUUUGUCUCACCAGAGUCGAUCGGAACGAUGGUAGUAUCUGCAACAAUAGCAGGUCAAUGAGAUCAUCAUCUAUGAAAUACUGAUGUGAUGACGCUUCUGUGCACUAAUCAAAUUUCAGUUAUUUUAGUUGGAAGUCUUGGAAAUGGUCUUCGUCUGCCUAAAAGGCCAUUGGGCUACACCCCACUAAGCCCACAAAGAAUUCUUAGAUCGUUACAGUUUGCAAUAUUUUCAUAAAGCCAAAAUGUCUUUUUUUGGAAAAAGAUGAUUUUGGAAUAGCGACCCAAAUUAAAAAAGGGCCCAUUUAGGCUUCAAACUAAGCUAUUCUCACAUGGCUCUUCUGAUGUAGUUCAGCAGGUCCUACAUUGUUUAUUUACUAAAGCACUGUUUGUGAGCAUUGAGCAAAUACACAGUGGUUAAUUUAC
rnacentral:lncRNA from 1 species